rnacentral:rRNA from 1 species
CCGGUAAACGGCGGCCGUAACUAUAACGGUCCUAAGGUAGCGAAAUUCCUUGUCGGGUAAGUUCCGACCUGCACGAAUGGCGUAAUGAUGGCCAGGCUGUCUCCACCCGAGACUCAGUGAAAUUGAACUCGCUGUGAAGAUGCAGUGUACCCGCGGCAAGACGGAAAGACCCCGUGAACCUUUACUAUAGCUUGACACUGAACAUUGAGCCUUGAUGUGUAGGAUAGGUGGGAGGCUUUGAAGUGUGGACGCCAGUCUGCAUGGAGCCGACCUUGAAAUACCACCCUUUAAUGUUUGAUGUUCUAACGUUGGCCCCUGAUCGGGGUUGCGGACAGUGUCUGGUGGGUAGUUUGACUGGGGCGGUCUCCUCCUAAAGAGUAACGGAGGAGCACGAAGGUUGGCUAAUCCUGGUCGGACAUCAGGAGGUUAGUGCAAUGGCAUAAGCCAGCUUGACUGCGAGCGUGACGGCGCGAGCAGGUGCGAAAGCAGGUCAUAGUGAUCCGGUGGUUCUGAAUGGAAGGGCCAUCGCUCAACGGAUAAAAGGUACUCCGGGGAUAACAGGCUGAUACCGCCCAAGAGUUCAUAUCGACGGCGGUGUUUGGCACCUCGAUGUCGGCUCAUCACAUCCUGGGGCUGAAGUAGGUCCCAAGGGUAUGGCUGUUCGCCAUUUAAAGUGGUACGCGAGCUGGGUUUAGAACGUCGUGAGACAGUUCGGUCCCUAUCUGCCGUGGGCGCUGGAGAACUGAGGGGGGCUGCUCCUAGUACGAGAGGACCGGAGUGGACGCAUCACUGGUGUUCGGGUUGUCAUGCCAAUGGCACUGCCCGGUAGCUAAAUGCGGAAGAGAUAAGUGCUGAAAGCAUCUAAGCACGAAACUUGCCCCGAGAUGAGUUCUCCCUGACUCCUUGAGAGUCCUGAAGGAACGUUGAAGACGACGACGUUGAUAGGCCGGGUGUGUAAGCGCAGCGAUGCGUUGAGCUAACCGGUACUAAUGAACCGUGAGG